UCCCGCUUUUUUAUUUAAAAUUUUCCCGCAGAAGGCGCCCCUUUUUUAAAGCUGGGGGAAGGGACGCCCCCAAGGGGAAGAUAAGAGGCGGAAUAAGGUUCUCUCCCCCAUUGGGAAAAGCCCGCCCAAUUUCUUGGGGGGGGGGGUUGGGAAUUUUGCCAUGGGGGGAUUUUUGAUCACCACUCCCCGGAAGGAAAAGGUUUAGGAUUAAACUUCGUCUUAAGGCAAAAAAAGCCGUCCUGAAGAGGAGCUCGGCUAACUUCGUCCAGCAGCGGGUUAAUCGUAGGAGGGAGCUUUUCCCGAUUUCCGGGUUAAAGGGAGCUUGGCGGGAUCCAAGUCAGAUGGGAAACUAUGGGCUUACCCCAUAAACUGCAUUGAAACUGUGGUCUUGAGGAAGGAGAGGUAAGCGGAAUCCCUAGUGUAGCGUGAAAGGCGUAGAUUUUAGGAGGACAUUCGGUGUCGAAGGCGGCUUAUUGGGCUUUAACUGACGCUGAGGCUCGAAGCGUGGGGAGCAAACAGGAUUAGAUCCCCUGGUAGUCCACGCCGUAAACGAUGAUUCCUAGGUGUGGGGGGACUGACCCCUUCCGUGCCGCAGCAAACGCAAUAAGUAAUCCACCUGGGGAGUACGACCGCAAGGUUGAAACUCAAAGGAAUUGACGGGGGCCCGCACAAGCAGUGGAGUAUGUGGAUUAAUUCGAAGCAACGCGAAGAACCUUACCAGGUCUUGACAUCGUAUGCAUAGCUCAGAGAUGAGUGAAGUCUCUUCGGAGACAUAUAGACAGGUGGUGCAUGGUUGUCGUCAGCUCGUGUCGUGAGAUGUUGGGUUAAGUCCCGCAACGAGCGCAACCCUUACUGUUAGUUGCUACGCAAGAGCACUCUAGCAGGACUGCCGUUGACUAAACGGAGGAAGGUGGGGAUGACGUCAAAUCAUCAUGCCCCUUAUGACCUGGGCCUCACACGUACUACAAUGGCUGUUAACAGAGGGAUGCAAAGCCGCGAGGUGGAGCGAACCCCUAAAAGCAGUCUUAGUUCGGAUUGUAGGCUGCAACCCGCCUACAUGAAGUCGGAAUUGCUAGUAAUCGCAGAUCAGCAUGCUGCGGUGAAUACGUUCCCGGGCCUUGUACACACCGCCCGUCACGCCAUGGGAGUCGGUAACACCCGAAGCCUGUAGUCUAACCGCAAGGAGGAAGGAGCCGAAGGUGGGAUUGAUGGCUGGGGUGAA
rnacentral:rRNA from 1 species